rnacentral:rRNA from 1 species
GACGAACGCUGGCGGCGUGCUUAACACAUGCAAGUCGAGCGGUAAGGCCCUUUCGGGGGUACACGAGCGGCGAACGGGUGAGUAACACGUGGGUGACCUGCCCUUAGCUCUGGGAUAAGCCUGGGAAACUGGGUCUAAUACCGGAUAUGACUCCAUGACGCAUGUUGUGGGGUGGAAAGCCUUGUGCGGCUAGGGAUGGGCCCGCGGCCUAUCAGCUUGUUGGUGGGGUGAUGGCCUACCAAGGCGACGACGGGUAGCCGGCCUGAGAGGGCGACCGGCCACACUGGGACUGAGACACGGCCCAGACUCCUACGGGAGGCAGCAGUGGGGAAUUUUGCGCAAUGGACGAAAGUCUGACGCAGCAACGCCGCGUGAGGGAUGAAGGCCUCGGUUGUAA